rnacentral:rRNA from 1 species
AUUGAACGCUGGCGGCAGGCCUAACACAUGCAAGUCGAGCGGAUGAAGGGAGCUUGCUCCUGGAUUCAGCGGCGGACGGGUGAGUAAUGCCUAGGAAUCUGCCUGGUAGUGGGGGAUAACGUCCGGAAACGGGCGCUAAUACCGCAUACGUCCUGAGGGAGAAAGUGGGGGAUCUUCGGACCUCACGCUAUCAGAUGAGCCUAGGUCGGAUUAGCUAGUUGGUGGGGUAAAGGCCUACCAAGGCGACGAUCCGUAACUGGUCUGAGAGGAUGAUCAGUCACACUGGAACUGAGACACGGUCCAGACUCCUACGGGAGGGCGCAGUGGGGAAUAUUGGACAGUGGGCGAAAGCCUGAUCCAGCCAUGCCGCGUGUGUGAAGAAGGUCUUCGGAUUGUAAAGCACUUUAAGUUGGGAGGAAGGGCAGUAAGUUAAUACCUUGCUGUUUUGACGUUACCAACAGAAUAAGCACCGGCUAACUUCGUG